GCUUACGGCCACACCGCCCUGGUUAGCCGAUCUCGUUUGAUCUCGGAAGCUAAGAUAGGUUGGGCCUGGUUAGUACUUUGAUGGGGAGACCGCCUGGGAAUACCAGGUGCUGUAAGCU
rnacentral:rRNA from 1 species